GGGGGUGUAGUUCAAUGGUAGAAUAGAGGUCUCCAAAACCUUUGAUGGGAGUUCGAUUCUUCCCACCCCUG
rnacentral:tRNA from 1 species